AGAAUCAACGCUGGCGGCGUGCCUAACACAUGCAAGUCGCACGAGAAAGGGACUUCGGUCCUAAGUAAAGUGGCGCACGGGUGAGUAACACGUGAAUCAUCUACCUCCGAAUGGGGAAUAACUGAGAGAAAUCUUAGCUAAUACCGCAUAAUACCUACGGGUCAAAGCAGCAAUGCGUUUGGAGAGGAGUUCGCGGUCGAUUAGUUAGUUGGCGGGGUAAUGGCCCACCAAGACGAUGAUCGAUAUCCGGCCUGAGAGGGCGCACGGACACACUGGAACUGAAACACGGUCCAGACUCCUACGGGAGGCAGCAGUGGGGAAUUUUGCGCAAUGGGGGAAACCCUGACGCAGCAACGCCGCGUGGAGGAUGAAAUAUCUUGGUAUGUAAACUCCUUUCGAUGGGGAAGAUAAUGACGGUACCCAUAGAAGAAGCCCCGGCUAACUUCGUGCCAGCAGCCGC
rnacentral:rRNA from 1 species